AUUGAACGCUGGCGGCAGGCCUAACACAUGCAAGUCGGGCGGUAACAGGGAGAAGCUUGCUUCUCUGCUGACGAGCGGCGGACGGGUGAGUAAUGUAUGGGGAUCUGCCUGAUGGAGGGGGAUAACUACUGGAAACGGUAGCUAAUACCGCAUAAUGUCCACGGACCAAAGCGGGGGACCUUCGGGCCUCGCACCAUCAGAUGAACCCAUAUGGGAUUAGCUAGUAGGUAAGGUAACGGCUUACCUAGGCGACGAUCCCUAGCUGGUCUGAGAGGAUGGUCAGCCACACUGGGACUGAGACACGGCCCAGACUCCUACGGGAGGCAGCAGUGGGGAAUAUUGCACAAUGGGCGCAAGCCUGAUGCAGCCAUGCCGCGUGUAUGAAGAAGGCCUGGUGU
rnacentral:rRNA from 1 species